UUGUACUUUGAUGGAUGGGUUGUGUAAGGAAAAUAGGCUUGAUGAGGCAGUUUCUUUGUUGGAUGAGAUGCAGAUUGAAGGGUGUUUUCCUAAUUCUGCAACUUUUAAUGUGUUAAUUAAUGGA
rnacentral:miRNA from 1 species